rnacentral:rRNA from 1 species
AAACUAACAACCUCAUAUCAAACAAGAGUACCCGCUGAACUUAAGCAUAUCAAUAA